AUUACCUUUUUAACAUAGCUAAUUAGUACUUGCUAGUGUUUUUUCACGAGUCAUGGGGAUUCAGAGCUCCGGCGACCUCCGUUGAUGUCGGUCGCACCGUUGGCGACCUAAGUUCGCUCUCUCUCACUUUAUAUCUCUCCUCAAACCGACGCCAGUGAACCAGUGCCUACAGUUUUCUUUGUAGGAGAGUUCUAUGCUGCAGAAGUUAUUGCUCUCAUAUCAUUUGGCAUUAGAGCGAGUUAAUGUAAUGGCCAUAUCAUUUGAUUCAUAUGUUUGUUUUGGGAUUGAAGCUUGUGAUUUAGUAAAGCACUUGACAUUCAUGUGAAUCUUAUAAUGUAAAUUAAACAGAAGCAUUUUCUUCAGAUAAGACACCCCAUUCUCAGAAAUAUUGAGAAUAUGUUAUUUCAAGGAUAACUUAAAUAUCGUGAAUGAAAUGAUACCUUACUCCAUGUUUGGGGGCUUGGAUUCGAACUUUGGAUUCGAAUUUGGAUUAUUGUGGAUUUGAAUAAACUGUAAUACAAACAUUAUACUGUGUUUUGUUCUA